UUCUUUUUCCCCCGAAUUCCCUAAUCAACUCGCGAGCCUUCCUUCUUCCCCCGUGAAUUUUGUGCUGUGCCAAAACUGCUCCGAGGCAGUUCCUUUCUCUCCUCCUCAUCCAUGCCAAGCUGCGCGCUGAUCACCGGCCACAGGAAUCCAGCGUCGUCGCCGUGCCCUAGCGCCCCGCCGACGACCUCUUCCUCUCCUCUGGCCGACGCGACGCCACUGCCCUUCUUUUCCUGCCCUAGCCGGCUGAUCGCCGCCUUGUUCCUUGCUUGAGCAGCCAACUAUCGCCGGGGAUUCUCCUCCCAGUGUCGUGCCCUAGAGCUGAUGCCACCACCGCCGUCUUCACAGCAGCCGAGAGCCUCGUGUCUCUGCCCUAUAGCGCCGUCGCUUCCUCUCUACCCUCUUCCGAUCCGGAGGGUUUCCUUCGUGCCGGCACAGAGCCACCACAGCGAACUUUGGGCCGAUUGCUACAGCCAACAACCACCACUUCUCUGGAUUUACUUUGAUUCGUGCCUUGGCACUGUUGCCGAUUUCAUUUCUUUCCUCUGGUUGCCGGUGGUUUGGGAGUUCUAGUUUGGGAAAUGAAUCGGAUCUUGGAGUUCCUUGCUGUUGAUUGGGGUUACGGGAUUGAAGAGAAGGAGGGAGAGGUUGGAUCCAAUUGCUUGUUGUUCUGUGAAGGUGAUCUUGAAUUCCAGCAGCAGUUGACACUCCGGUGAUUUCCAGCUGUGGGCUACACUCUGAUCACGAGGCGUCAGUGAUUAUCAUCAGAUUUGGACGUUGAUUCGGGACGAGCACUUCGACAUAGAUGUUGAUUAGCUCAGUCUACAUUGGAGG